GCCAGCGUAGCUCAAUGGUAGAGCAGCUGCUUUGUAAGCAGUUGGUUGCGGGUUCAAGUCCUGCCGCUGGCU
rnacentral:tRNA from 1 species